rnacentral:rRNA from 1 species
UACGUAGGGGGCAAGCGUUGUCCGGAAUUAUUGGGCGUAAAGAGCGCGUAGGCGGUCCGGUAAGUCGGUUGUGAAAGUCGGGGGCUCAACCCUCGAAUGCCGGUGGAUACUGUCGGGCUAGAGUGCGGGAGAGGCGAGUGGAAUUCCUGGUGUAGCGGUGAAAUGCGCAGAUAUCAGGAGGAACACCAAUUGCGAAGGCAGCUCGCUGGAACGUAACUGACGCUGAGACGCGAAAGCGUGGGGAGCAAACAGG